GCACAAGCAGUGGAGUAUGUGGUUUAAUUCGACGCAACGCGAAGAACCUUACCAGAGCUUGACAUCCCGAGAAAGCCGGGUAAUGCCGGCCGUGCCCUUCGGGGAACUCGGAGACAGGUGGUGCAUGGUUGUCGUCAGCUCGUGUCGUGAGAUGUUGGGUUAAGUCCCGCAACGAGCGCAACCCUUACGGUUAGUUGCUACGCAAGAGCACUCUAACAGGACUGCCGUUGAUAAAA
rnacentral:rRNA from 1 species